rnacentral:rRNA from 1 species
CCUACGGGAGGCAGCAGUGAGGAAUAUUGGUCAAUGGGCUUACGCCUGAACCAGCCAAGUCGCGUGAGGGAAGACUGCCCUAUGGGUUGUAAACCGCUUUUGUCAGGGAGCAACGCCGGCUACGUGUAGCCGGACUUGUAGUACCUGUAGAAAAAGCAUCGGCUAACUCCGUGCCAGCAGCCGCGGUAAUACGGAGGAUGCGAGCGUUAUCCGGUUUUAUUGGGUUUAAAGGGUGCGUUGGCGGAAUGCCAAGUCAGCGGUAAAAUCGCGGGGCUCAACCUCGCUCCGCCGUUGAAACUGGCGUUCUGGAGUGGGCGCGAAGUAGGCGGAAUGCGUGGUGUAGCGGUGAAAUGCAUAGAUAUCACGCAGAACUCCGAUUGCGAAGGCAGCAUACCGGGGCGCAACUGACGCUGAAGCACGAAAGCGUGGGUAUCGAACAGGAUUAGAUACCCUUGUAGUC